UCCAGCCGCGAUAGCACGUUGAAUACCACAGUUUCCAAUGGAUCACUGAAGUAAAGCAACGUUGCGUGUGGUUAGUAUUCGAAUGGGUACCUAAACAGUGACAACCUAACAGACAGUAGGCA
rnacentral:rRNA from 1 species